rnacentral:tRNA from 1 species
GCCCCCGUGGCGGAAUUGGUAGACGCGGCAGACUCAAAAUCUGUUGUUCGAAAGAACGUGCCUGUUCGAGUCAGGCCGGGGGCACCA